rnacentral:rRNA from 1 species
AGCGAACGCUGGCGGCAGGCCUAACACAUGCAAGUCGAACGAACUCUUCGGAGUUAGUGGCGGACGGGUGAGUAACACGUGGGAACGUGCCUUUAGGUUCGGAAUAACUCAGGGAAACUUGUGCUAAUACCGAAUGUGCCCUUCGGGGAAAGAUUUAUCGCCUUUAGAGCGGCCCGCGUCUGAUUAGCUAGUUGGUGAGGUAAAGGCUCACCAAGGCGACGAUCAGUAGCUGGUCUGAGAGGAUGAUCAGCCACAUUGGGACUGAGACACGGCCCAAACUCCUACGGGAGGCAGCAGUGGGGAAUCUUGCGCAAUGGGCGAAAGCCUGACGCAGCCAUGCCGCGUGAAUGAUGAAGGUCUUAGGAUUGUAAAAUUCUUUCACCGGGGACGAUAAUGACGGUACCCGGAGAAGAAGCCCCGGCUAACUUCGUGCCAGCAG